UACGUAGGCAGCGAGCGUUGUUUGGAAUUACUGGGCGUAAAGAGUGUGUAGGCGGUGCUCUAAGUUUGGUGUGAAAUCUCCCGGCUCAACCGGGAGGGUGCAUCGAAAACUGGAGUGCUCGAGGGUGGGAGAGGUAAGCGGAAUUCCUGGUGUAGCGGUGAAAUGCGUAGAUAUCAGGAGGAACACCUGUGGUGUAGACAGCUUACUGGACCACUUCUGACGCUGAGACACGAAAGCGUGGGUAGCAAACAGG
rnacentral:rRNA from 1 species